UGUGAAGAAGCCCGGAUACUGCCCAGAGUUCUUCCUCAGGUGCCCUUUCAUCCUCUUACCCCUGUGCCGCCGCGACGGAGGGUGCAACGGGGACAAGAAGUGUUGCUUCUACAACUGCAGGCAUCAGUGUAUGGAGCCGUGGCUCAGCUUGGAGUGAGUUUGUAAUCAUGAGCCACUUUCCUCUCCACGUUUAACGUGUGAGGGAGAAACCUCUUCUUAACCAGACCUGAGAAGAUCCGUCGGACAGGCUCAGACUCGGCUCAGACUCGGAUUACUGAUCCCCAGUCCCUCCAAGCUCUCCUUACUUCCCAAGCUUCCUUCUAUCAGGAGUUAAAUGCUUAUUAACAUGCAAACAAC
rnacentral:lncRNA from 1 species